rnacentral:lncRNA from 1 species
CAACAAGCCUGAAUUCAAUGCACAGGCCCCAUGUGGUAGACAGUGAGAACCACUUCCAGCAAGUUGUCUUCUGGCCUCUAAACCCAUGCAACAGGCACACGUGCGCGCGCGCACACACACACACAAAACACACACACACACACACACACACACACACAAUGUAAUAAAAUUUCUGUUUCCUCCCAAAACAAAAUUUUUAAAAAUUAAUAUUCCUAGAUGCUGGGGCCUCACUCUGAAGCACAAUAGAUGAAGGGCGUCCUUUCUCAUAAAACUGCCCUGGGUGAUUCUACCCGGCAGGCAGAGCUGAGUGCUCACUUCACUUUAUCGUUCUGCUAAGUGGCAGAUUAGAUAUAAACAUACGCAACAGUAGUUAGAGGCUCGACAAAACCAUAUCAGACUUUCCACUGAUUCAGUCCAAACCACUGAAGUGGUCCCUAGAGGGAAGUGGAGACCAUGGCCACACUCUCUAGAGAAGGAAAUGGAGUCUCCGACAGCUAACUGUGCUUUUUCCACCCGGCCAAUGGGAACUAUGACACCGCUGGGCCUUCUCUGGCAUGGUGUUCCUAUGUGCUGGCUCAAGUCCUGAUGCCUGUCCCAACACUCCCUGCUCCUCCACAUCCCCUGGAAGAACGCUACGAGGAAGACUUAGAAGACGGUGGACCUGAGGCUCUGCAGAAGGAUCUGCAGACAGUUGUGGUGUAAUGACAACCGUGUGUUGAGGUUUUCCACUCAGCUAUGAAGCUAUGAAGCAUCUUUCUCGGUGUGUUGAUUAAUUCUGUCAACUUGAUUGCAUUAGUGAAUGCCAAGGGCAUUAGCCAAGCGCUCUUCUGGGUAUGCCUGUGCGGGUGUUUCCAAAGAAGACUGGCCGAGGGGAAAGACCAAUCCUGAAUGUAUGGCGCCAUGCCACACACUGGGAUCCAGACUGAAUGAAGAGAGAACGGACAAGUCAGUUGAGCACUGGAAUCCCGUCUCUGCUUCCUGAUCCACCAUGAUGUGAGCAAUCAGUCUUCUGCCACCAUAGCCAGAGCUGGUUCCACAGCCAAGGCUUCCCCUUCAGGCUGAACU